GUCAAUAAAAUUAAUUCUGCUGUUUUGAUUGGUCUAGACCGAGCGCAGGUACGUUUUGCUGCACUUAACGGAAACGUGGUGCAAUAUGCCAAAUCCUGUUCAGCAUCCGAGUCGAGACCGAACACAGGUGCGUUUUGCCGUGAGGCUUACUGCAACGCGGUACAUUAUGGCAAGGCGCACAUUGAGACACACGCGACGCAACCCACGCAGGGCAGCACACGCCACGUUUUUGUAUCAUGUAGUUAGCAUUGCACGCCCGCAUAUUAGGACGCAGCACAGCUUAAGCCACGAAUGUGCCAAACAAAACGUGUGUCGCCCAGUGUUCGAGACACAGAUUUCGUGAGCGAGUGUGGCAAAACAAUGCAGGAAGAACUUAUUGAGGCUGUCAGAAAAUUUCCUGUUCUAUAUGAUACAAAUGAUCCCUCAUAUAUGAAAUCCAAGCUAAAAGAUGACAUCUGGAACACGAUUGCUAAACAUGUUAAAUUAAAAACCGGAAGCGAGGCAAAAUAAAGUUGGCUAAAAUUGCGAGGUUGUCGUCGUGAAGCAUUACGUAGACUGAAAAAUACUUUUAAAAGUGGAUCUGCUGCAGCCGUGAUAAAAGUCUGGAAAUACCAGAAGCAAAUGGAUUUUCUAGUCCCUUAUAUGGGAAAUCGACCACGCGAGGGUAACCUAGAUCUCGAAAGCGAAGAAGAACAAACACAGGAUUUGUCUCAAAAUGCAGACAGUGAUACUUCAGUUCAUGAAAAUGAAAACACUGAAAACUUGUCCGCAGAGGAGAAUACCGAAACCGAACAUUUGCUAAAUAAAAAUACAAUAAGUAAUUCUGGUAUUUCUAAAUCAAUGUCGGACACUAUUGUACAGAAAAAUAAGCGAAUGAAAAAAGAUGAUAUAGCCGGCGUACUGAAGAAAUCGAUGAUUCGGCGGGAAAAAAGAGCUGAAGAACGGGCAAUUGAAAGAAAAAAAGCCAGUGAAGAGGCAGUAACACCUCAACGUAAUGGACUUCAAAAGUUUUUUUUGGCCAUGUAUGAAAUGACAAGGGAAAUGCCUGCUACGUACCAACAUGUUAUAAGAAAUAGAGUAUAUCAAGCAGUGUCAGAAGUAGAAGCUGAAUAUUUACAGUUAGGCACUUCUUCAAUUCUCACACACAAACUUUUUCACAAACUGGUUCUCAGACUCCAAUUUUGCACCAGCUUCAACCAAUACCUCAGGAAACCUGCAGCCCUUCAACAUCAUACUCCCAUGCUUCCUAUUCAUCUUUUACUAGCACACCCCUACAGUCUCCUGGUACAGAGGCACCAGAGUCAGUCAGUGCGCAGUCCAAAGACACCGCAUCAUUUUUUCAUAACUUUUCAGUUUAACAAAAAUGCAUUCUAGUGUUAUUUUUUUUAAAUAAAUAAAUUUUUAGUUUACAUUAAAUAAAUUUCUUACCUUAAGAAUACAGCUGGUUUUUCUUUUGUUCCUAUGGGUGUCUGGGCAUUACAACCUUCAGAAUAAAUUGCCUCUUCUAUUAUAUUGAGCACUUCAUUAAACUGAUUUUUAUUUAGUCGAAAAUAAUUUGUAAACUUUGAGUCCGAAAAUUCAGAUGCCAGAUUAAAUUCGUCAUGACUUUGUCUUUUUUUUCAUGUAAUUGCUUUUCCAAUAUGAUUUCUUUCUUUUUUUAGAUAGGUCGUACAGCAAAACUUCUGUUUCCCAAUUUGCGUCCGAAUCUGACUCAAAACUUAAGUCUAGUAAUAAAUUUUCCAUGAAUAUUAAUUUAAGAAAACUACCUACUACGCAGGAAACAACACAGCUUGUGUAACAAUAUGCCUGCAGCCGACACAUCCCACGAAUUUCGUGGACUUCGACGUUUGUGAUGCUCUGCGUGGGUUGCGUCGCAUGUGUCUCAAUGUGCGCCUUGCCUAUGCCUUGCCUCGUUUCGCAUGCGAUGUAUAAUUAACUGUUGGUCUGGACCGAGCGCAGGUACAUUUGGCAACAAGGACUGAGACGAGGUGGAUAUUGUCAAUUGCCAUUUAUUUUUUUUUUAAUCAGUUUGCCGCGCGCUAGUGCAUUCUGUGUUUUUGAUUAGCUUGUUGUUUCGUAUUGCUCAACUAUGUCAAUAGAUUCACCGUAUCCUUUGCCAGAUAUAUUUAGAUAUCGUAUUAAAGAUGUUAAUAAUAAAACUACUAUGCUUUAUGCUGAGCUAAAUUCGAUUGAAGAGUGCGAUAGGUGGAUAAAUGUCUUCUCAAAAAUAACCUCGACAAAGUGGAUAGUACGACUUACUCUGCCAGCAUCAACUCGUAUUACGUGCAGAAAAGAUUAUGUUUGUCAUCAUGCUUCCUACAGAAAGAAAACAAGUAAUUCCCGGAAGUUGAAAAAUUUGGAGUUUGAAGCGAAAAUUUCUAUUGUUGUUAAAUUAAUAACGGAAGUGACUAAAAGAAGAAAUGAUCAUAUAAAGAAUAACUUACCUGCUGUUGUUACAAUUAAUACCGACCAUACCCAUAGCAUAGACAGUGCUGAUAUAUUUGGUGCAUUGCCUGCUUCACGCGAAACGAGAAUAAUUUUUGAAUCGUAUUUAGAUAAUGGAUUAGGCAUCACAGAAGCUAUCAAUUAUCAUGUUUCAAAAAUAGAGCUUGAAAUGGAUGAAAUGGAUUUGGCUAAAGGAUCAUUGAAUCCGAAAUAUCGUACAAUCAGGUACUGGUACGACAGUUGGAGAAAACUACACCUAGGACCACGUGAUGGUGUUGGUGUCCUAGAGAAGCUGAAAGAAAAACAAGAUGAAUAUGGAAAAUUGGGAAUCACUGUAGAGAUUCAGACAAAUCCAUUCACUAUUGUUAUUGUCACCCCUUUAAUGAAGACAGCACAUAACCUAUCAAACGCAGGAGAUAUUGUUUUUUGUGGACAGUACCGCCUCCUGCAAUGCAGAACAUAAUACAAUAACCUUCAUGUUGACAGUUACUGCUGCAGGAGCUGUACCAUUAGCAAUUAUAAUAACCAAGACGCAAACUUUUAUAGAUUAUGUAUCAGGGUUUUAGCUUGUUAAAAAUGUUAUAGGCAAUAAUGGAUUUGGUGGACAAAGCGAACCAAAGCUCUUUAGCUUUAUGACCGACGAUAGCGAGGCGGAAAGGAGAGCCCUGAAUCAAGUAUUUCCCACAGCGAAUUUGCUGCUUUGUACUUUCCAUAUUGGCUUUCCAUAAAGCUGUUUGGAGGUACCUUUGUGAUAAAAAUCAUUUGAUUGUUAAAGAAGAUCGUUCAGUACUGUACCAAUUUUUCAAACAGAUAUUAAUCUCGUCCUCAGAUUUAAAAGCAGAAUCUGAUUUCUAAAAAGCUAUUACUAAUGAAGUCGCAGCUAAAUACCCAAAUUGGAAAAUUUAUGUAACAAAUUACUGGAAUCGUCGAGAAAGUUGGGCCCUGUGUUACCGUGAUGCUAGAACACAUGGAAAUCAAACGAAUAAUUUCUCCGAAAUUAGUGUUCGAUUAUACAAGGAUAUAGUUCUUAGAAGAUGUAAAGCAUAUAAUGUCGUUGCUCUCGUUGAUUUCUCAUCAACAGUUAUGGAACAAUACUAUGUGAGCCGUCUCAGAGAUUUUGCCAACGGUCGUUGUGAUAAAAAUCGACUUACACUUAAAGCACAAAUUCAUAAGGCAUCAUACCUUUCAAAAGAGAUGAUUGCACGACAAAACGAAUAUUGCUUUAAAGUACCAAGUGAAAAGAGUAACGAGCUCUAUGAUGUAGAUUUACAAAUCGGCUAUUUUUCUUGUGAAAGUGGAAAAUUGGGUGCUCUGUGCAAACACCAAGCUGGUGUUUAUUAUUUUUUCUUGGAUAUUAAUGAGCCAACUGCAGAUGACCGUUUCCAUAUAGCAAUCUUAGCACUAGGUGAUAAGGCCAACAAAAAAUAAUUUUACACGCCAAUGACAAAAAAUAAUAAAAUAAUCGAUAAUUCGACAAUUGUUCCUGAAUAUCCAGAAAAUACAAAUGAGAACUUGACAAAUAAUAAUCGUGGCCUGAUUGGAGAAGAUAUGUAGAUAUGUCCCUCGGGGAAAAUAUUGCAAGUGGCGAUGUAACCUUCUCAAUGUUAGUUGACGAACUAAAAAUAAAACAACAAAAAUUUGGUACUUCUUCUUUAAUUGUUAACCGAUGUUUGAAAAGAUUGGAUAAGGUUAAGAGCAGAGCAAGUUGGGACGUAUUUCUGAGUUUCUUCGAAAUGAAUAUUCCUUUAAGACAUCGAUCAGGAGCAGCGAUACAUGUUCAGCCUACCGCACUCGCCAGAAGAACAGCUGGAGUAACAAGAGGUAGCAGAAGGUUGCUAUGUGGACGUCCACCUUCGAGUGACACACGGCCUACGAUCAAACGAAAGCGUAACUUGGCUGCUAAUGUUAAAAAAAAUUUGCCAAAUGCAAAAUCGCAUGGUACAGGUCAUUAGAUCGUAAACAUAUCUACUACUUAUUAGAUCUUAGAAUAUUCUGUUUCAUUUUUAAUUAUUUUCAGUGAAAGGCACUUUGUUGUAUACCUACAUAGGUAUAUAUCUUAUAAUGACAUGUUUUAUUAAUAAUUAUUUUCAGUGAAAGGCACUAAUAUAUUUGUUGUUUUCG